rnacentral:rRNA from 1 species
AACGAACGCUGGCGGCAGGCUUAACACAUGCAAGUCGAACGCAUCGCAAGAUGAGUGGCAGACGGGUGAGUAACGCGUGGGAACAUACCCUUUUCUACGGAAUAGCUCUGGGAAACUGGAAUUAAUACCGUAUACGCCCUACGGGGGAAAGAUUUAUCGGGGAAGGAUUGGCCCGCGUUGGAUUAGCUAGUUGGUGGGGUAAAGGCCUACCAAGGCGACGAUCCAUAGCUGGUCUGAGAGGAUGAUCAGCCACAUUGGGACUGAGACACGGCCCAAACUCCUACAGGAGGCAGCAGUGGGGAAUAUUGGACAAUGGGCGCAAGCCUGAUCCAGCCAUGCCGCGUGAGUGAUGAAGGCCUUAGGGUUGUAAAGCUCUUUCACCGAUGAAGAUAAUGACGGUAGUCGGAGAAGAAGCCCCGGCUAACCUCGUGCCAGCCGCCGCAGUAACAC